rnacentral:rRNA from 1 species
CGAAAACUUGGCAAUGCGAGCAAUCGUGACCAGGGAACUCCAAGUGGCUGGGGUAAUACCCAGUUUUUUCUUGACUCUUCAAAGGUCUUGGAAUAAGGGGUGGGUAAGGACGGUGCCAGCCGCCGCGGUAAUACCGGCGCCUCAAGUGGUAGUCGCUUUUAUUGGGCCUAAAACGUCCGUAGCCGGUCUGGUGCAUUCGUGGGUAAAUCAACCCGCUCAACGGGUUGAAUUCUGCGAGCACGGCCAGACUUGGGACCGGGAGAGGUGUGGGGUACUCUCAGGGUAGGGGUAAAAUCCUGUCAUCCUGAGAGGACCACCUGUUGCGAAGGCGCCACACUAGAACGGAUUCGACGGUCAGGGACGAAACCUAGGGGCACGAACCGGAUUAGAUACCCGGGUAGUCCUAGGUGUAAACGCUGUGGACUUGAUGUUGGGGGUGCUCCGAGCACUCUCAGUGUCGAAGCGAAGGUGAUAAGUCCACUGCCUGGGGAGUACGGUCGCAAGGCUGAAACUUAAAGGAAUUGGCGGGGGAGCACUGCAACCUGAGGAUUGUGCGGUUUAAUUGGACUCAACGCCGGAA